rnacentral:rRNA from 1 species
CAGUCGACGGUGAAGAGGAGCUUGCUUCUUGGAUCAGUGGCGAACGGGUGAGUAACACGUGAGCAAUCUGCCCUUGACUCUGGGAUAACUGCGGGAAACUGUAGCUAAUACCGGAUAUUACCUUGGAAGGCAUCUUCUGGGGUGGAAAGAAUUUUGGUCAAGGAUGAGCUCGCGGCCUAUCAGCUAGUUGGUGAGGUAAUGGCUCACCAAGGCGACGACGGGUAGCCGGCCUGAGAGGGUGACCGGCCACACUGGGACUGAGACACGGCCCAGACUCCUACGGGAGGCAGCAGUGGGGAAUAUUGCACAAUGGGCGCAAGCCUGAUGCAGCAACGCCGCGUGAGGGACGACGGCCUUCGGGUUGUAAACCUCUUUUAGUAGGGAAGAAGUGACUGGGUUUUCCUGGAAGUGACGGUACCUGCAGAAAAAGCACCGGCUAACUACGUGCCAGCAGCCGCGGUAAUACGUAGGGUGCAAGCGUUGUCCGGAAUUAUUGGGCGUAAAGAGCUCGUAGGCGGUUUGUUGCGUCUGCUGUGAAAACCCGAGGCUCAACCUCGGGCCUGCAGUGGGUACGGGCAGACUAGAGUGCGGUAGGGGAGAUUGGAAUUCCUGGUGUAGCGGUGGAAUGCGCAGAUAUCAGGAGGAACACCAAUGGCGAAGGCAGAUCUCUGGGCCGUAACUGACGCUGAGGAGCGAAAGCAUGGGGAGC